rnacentral:rRNA from 1 species
UGCAAGUCGAGCGGACUGAUGGGAGCUUGCUCCCUGAAGUCAGCGGCGGACCGGUGAGUAACACGUGGGUAACCUGCCUGUAAGACUGGGAUAACUCCGGGAAACCGGGGCUAAUACCGGAUAGUUCUUUUCCUCGCAUGAGGAAAAGUGGAAAGGCGGCUUCGGCUGCCACUUACAGAUGGACCCGCGGCGCAUUAGCUAGUUGGUGAGGUAACGGCUCACCAAGGCAACGAUGCGUAGCCGACCUGAGAGGGUGAUCGGCCACACUGGGACUGAGACACGGCCCAGACUCCUACGGGAGGCAGCAGUAGGGAAUCUUCCGCAAUGGACGAAAGUCUGACGGAGCAACGCCGCGUGAGUGAUGAAGGUUUUCGGAUCGUAAAGCUCUGUUGUUAGGGAAGAACAAGUGCCGUUCGAAUAGGGCGGCACCUUGACGGUACCUAACCAGAAAGCCACGGCUAACUACGUGCCAGCAGCCGCGGUAAUACGUAGGUGGCAAGCGUUGUCCGGAAUUAUUGGGCGUAAAGCGCGCGCAGGCGGUCUCUUAAGUCUGAUGUGAAAGCCCACGGCUCAACCGUGGAGGGUCAUUGGAAA